GUGUCAGCAGCCGCGGUAAGACGUAGGAGGCGAGCGUUGUCCGGAUUCAUUGGGCGUAAAGAGCGCGCAGGCGGCUCGGUAAGUCGGUUGUGAAAUUCCGGGGCUCAACCCCGGGACUGCGUCCGAUACUGCCGAGCUAGAGGUAGGUAGGGGAGAUCGGAAUUCCUGGUGUAGCGGUGAAAUGCGCAGAUAUCAGGAGGAACACCGGUGGCGAAGGCGGAUCUCUGGGCCUUACCUGACGCUCAGGCGCGAAAGCUAGGGGAGCGAACUGGAUUAGAUACCCGAGUAGUCC
rnacentral:rRNA from 1 species